rnacentral:tRNA from 1 species
GUGGGAUUGUGGCUCAGCGGUAGAGUGCUCACCUAGCACAGGCGGGACCUGGGUUCGAUCCUCAGCACCACA